GUGAACGCUGGCGGUAGGCCUAACACAUGCAAGUCGAACGGCAGCACAGUGAGAGCUUGCUCUUACGGGUGGCGAGUGGCGGACGGGUGAGGAAUACAUCGGAAUCUACUUUUUCGUGGGGGAUAACGUAGGGAAACUUACGCUAAUACCGCAUACGACCUACGGGUGAAAGCAGGGAAUCUUCGGACCUUGCGCGAUUGAAUGAGCCGAUGUCGGAUUAGCUAGUUGGCGGGGUAAAGGCCCACCAAGGCGACGAUCCGUAGCUGGUCUGAGAGGAUGAUCAGCCACACUGGAACUGAGACACGGUCCAGACUCCUACGGGAGGCAGCAGUGGGGAAUGUUGGACAAUGGGCGCAAGCCUGAUCCAGCCAUACCGCGUGGGUGAAGAAGGCCUUCGGGUUGUAAAGCCCUUUUGUUGGGAAAGAAAAGCAGCAGGUUAAUACCCCGCUGUUCUGACGGUACCCAAAGAAGAAGCACCGGCUAACUUCGUG
rnacentral:rRNA from 1 species